rnacentral:RNase_P_RNA from 1 species
UCUGCAAGCCAGACGGCCGCGGGGACAGCCAAACCGGCUACCAAGGACUCGUCCGAGGUACUGGCGGAGGUGGUCUUCGAGGAAAGUCCGGACACCAGAGAGCAAUGAUGGUCGGGGGUAAAAGCCUGACGCGGCGAAAGCCGACGGAAAGUGCCACAGAAAAUAACCGCCUAAGUCGUGCGGAACUGACUUCGGUCAGAACCGCCUCAAGGGAUCGGAAAGGCCGCAAGGCCCGGAUGUGAACGAAGAGGUAUGCACGGACGGUAAGGGUGAAACGGUGCGGUAAGAGCGCACCAGCAUCACGGUGACGUGGUGGCUAGGUAAACCCCAUCAGGUGCAAGAUCAAACAGGAUCGUUGAGGCUGCUCGCGGAGAUCCAGGUAGAUCGCAGGGAGUGGAAGACAUAGGCCCGACGCUUCGAUUCGUCGAAGCAGCCGAGACCCGCUGAAUGGCGCAAGCCCGAUGCGGACGCGGUAGGACCGAUGAAUGAAGCCCCCGCCUUACAGGGCGCAAGCCUGAGUAGGGCAGAGAUAGAUGGCCGUUCAACGACAGAAUCCGGCUUAUCGGCUUGCUAAGGGA